UACGUAGGGACCAAGCGUUGUUCGGAUUUACUGGGCGUAAAGGGCGCGUAGGCGGCUUGACAAGUCACUUGUGAAAUCUCCGGGCUUAACUCGGAACGGCCAAGUGAUACUGUCGCGCUAGAGUGCGGAAGGGGCAAUCGGAAUUCUCGGUGUAGCGGUGAAAUGCGUAGAUAUCGAGAGGAACACCUGAGGUGAAGACGGGUUGCUGGGCCGACACUGACGCUGAGUGCGCGAAAGCCAGGGGAGCAAACGGG
rnacentral:rRNA from 1 species